rnacentral:snoRNA from 1 species
UUGCAAACUUGAUCACUCGCUCUGCAUGAUGCUGCAGAAGCAAGGGGAACCAGGUUUGCUAAAGUAAUUGUGGGAUAAUAAUGGUUUUAGCCUCACGGAUUACCGAGGUGGCCCAUUCUUUCCUACUGCAGUU